UACGUAGGUGGCGAGCGUUGUCCGGAUUUACUGGGCGUAAAGGGCGUGCAGGCGGUUUGUUAAGUGCAGAGUGAAAGCUCCCGGCUCAACUGGGAGAGGUCUUUGCAUACUGGCAAACUCGAGGGAGGCAGAGGAAAGUGGAAUUCCCGGUGUAGUGGUGAAAUGCGCAGAUAUCGGGAAGAACACCCGUGGCGAAGGCGGCUCUCUGGGACGGUACUGACGCUGAGACGCGAAAGCGUGGGGAGCGAACAGG
rnacentral:rRNA from 1 species